rnacentral:rRNA from 1 species
AUGCAAGUCGAGCGAACAGAUAAGGAGCUUGCUCCUUUGACGUUAGCGGCGGACGGGUGAGUAACACGUGGGUAACCUACCUAUAAGACUGGGAUAACUUCGGGAAACCGGAGCUAAUACCGGAUAACAUUUGGAACCGCAUGGUUCUAAAGUGAAAGAUGGUUUUGCUAUCACUUAUAGAUGGACCCGCGCCGUAUUAGCUAGUUGGUAAGGUAACGGCUUACCAAGGCAACGAUACGUAGCCGACCUGAGAGGGUGAUCGGCCACACUGGAACUGAGACACGGUCCAGACUCCUACGGGAGGCAGCAUUAGGGAAUCUUCCGCAAUGGGCGAAAGCCUGACGGAGCAACGCCGCGUGAGUGAUGAAGGGUUUCGGCUCGUCAAACUCUGUUAUUAGGGAAGAACAAAUGUGUAAGUAACUGUGCACAUCUUGACGGUACCUAAUCAGAAAGCCACGGCUAACUACGUGCCAGCAGCCGCGGUAAUACGUAGGUGGCAAGCGUUAUCCGGAAUUAUUGGGCGUAAAGCGCGCGUAGGCGGUUUCUUAAGUCUGAUGUGAAAGCCCACGGCUCAACCGUGGAGGGUCAUUGGAAACUGGGAAACUUGAGUGCAGAAGAGGAAAGUGGAAUUCCAUGUGUAGCGGUGAAAUGCGCAGAGAUAUGGAGGAACACCAGUGGCGAAGGCGACUUUCUGGUCUG